GAAGCCCAGCUUGCUGGGUGGAAGAGUGGCGAACGGGUGAGUAACACGUGAGUAACCUGCCCUGAACUCUGGGAUAAGCACUGGAAACGGUGUCUAAUACUGGAUACGACCUAUCACCGCAUGGUGUGUGGGUGGAAAGAUUUAUCGGUUUUGGAUGGACUCGCGGCCUAUCAGCUAGAUGGUGAGGUAAUGGCUCACCAUGGCGACGACGGGUAGCCGGCCUGAGAGGGUGACCGGCCACACUGGGACUGAGACACGGCCCAGACUCCUACGGGAGGCAGCAGUGGGGAAUAUUGCACAAUGGGCGCAAGCCUGAUGCAGCAACGCCGCGUGAGGGAUGACGGCCUUCGGGUUGUAAACCUCUUUUAGUAGGGAAGAAGCGAAAGUGACGGUACCUGCAGAAAAAGCACCGGCUAACUACGUGCCAGCAGCCGCGGUAAUACGUAGGGUGCAAGCGUUGUCCGGAAUUAUUGGGCGUAAAGAGCUCGUAGGCGGCUUGUCGCGUCUGCUGUGAAAUCCCGGGGCUCAACCCCGGGCCUGCAGUGGGUACGGGCAAGCUAGAGUGCGGUAGGGGAGAUUGGAAUUCCUGGUGUAGCGGUGGAAUGCGCAGAUAUCAGGAGGAACACCGAUGGCGAAGGCAGAUCUCUGGGCCGCUACUGACGCUGAGGAGCGAAAGCAUGGGGAGCGAACAGGAUUAGAUACCCUGGUAGUCCAUGCCGUAAACGUUGGGAACUAGAUGUAGGGCCUGUUCCACGGGUUCUGUGUCGUAG
rnacentral:rRNA from 1 species